AACAACAACAACAAUAUUUAAGAUCUCUCCUGUCCAAGCACAGGACUGUGGUCUUGGCAGAAGGUGGGAAUACAGCUGUCCUCUUGCAGCAUGUGGCCAUCCAAAGAAAAACAGCACAGAAAUCAGACACACAAAAGCAGUUCAUCUGGGAGUCUGUCUGCACAGAAAAGUUCUGGGUUUUGUUCAUGCUGUUACACUUCUCAGGGAUGUAUCGGGACCUCUCUCCACGAUGACCCUAAGGGACUCACCCCAGGGAACACCAUAGAUGUCACAAAUUGAAUCACAUUCUGAAUGUAAAUGCGCUGUCAGUCGGCCUGGGAAGAGGGACUGCAGGUACGUGGAAGUUGCAAAAGAAAAUGUAGCACAUCCCAGCAGCACCCAAGAGGUGCAGGCCUGUCUGCUGUGCUCAACAAUAAUGUUAUCUGAGAGGAAACACGGUGGUGAAAGGGGCAUGAGGAGUCGCUUCCAUUUCCUGCUCGCAAAUAGAAUAAUGUCAUAAAAUGACAUAGACUUGACUGACAGCAUCGCGGUGGAGAUAAUGAUGUACUGAGAGGCUUGAAAGGGAUAGAAUUGGCUGUUGAGAAAGAAAGAGGAGAAAUUGUCCAUCAGAGUGAAGGUCAGAUGGUAAUGUGAGCAAAUGUGGCUGGGGGAAGGCUGUUACCAAACCCAACAAUUAUUUCAGGCACAAAUCACUGGGGCAUCAUCAAAGCCUUAAUUAAAUCAGUGGGGUUUUUUUUGAAAAUUGCCUGAAUG